rnacentral:tRNA from 8 species
UGCCGAAGUGGCGAAAUCGGUAGACGCAGUUGACUCAAAAUCAACCGCCGCGAGGCAUGCCGGUUCGAUUCCGGCCUUCGGCACCAU